rnacentral:SRP_RNA from 1 species
GCCGGGCGCGGUGGCUCAAGCCUGUAAUCCCAGCACUUUGGGAGGCCGAGGCGGGUGGAUCACCUGAGGUCAGGAGUUUGAGACCAGCCUGGCCAACAUGGUGAAACCCCAUCUCUACUAAAAAUACAAAAAUUAGCCAGGCGUGGNNNNNNNNNNCCACGCCUGGCUAAUUUUUGUAUUUUUAGUAGAGAUGGGGUUUCACCAUGUUGGCCAGGCUGGUCUCAAACUCCUGACCUCAGGUGAUCCACCCGCCUCGG